UCAUUUUUAUUUUAAUCUAUGAAAUCUUCAGUUCAUUUGGGAUUUAAUGUAAAUGAACUUAGGGAUUUAAAAGAACCUCAGAAAUCUCAUGAUGUUCAACAAAAGCCACAAACUCCAGCCUCUGGAACAAAAUUCCAUGCACCAACUCAGACUCUGGACAACAUCUGUGAAGCAUAUUUGCAGAGAAGGAUAGUGAAGUUCUGGUGGAGAUCAGGUUGCCAGUAGUGCACCCCUACAUCAAUGAAGACCAACAGCUUUCCUGAGCAGCAUCAGCCAACCUGUUCAGGGAAGCAGUUCUUCCCCUGAAUGUGGGUGGCACUUAUGAGACCAAAUCUAAAGUACUGGGUUGAGUUUUGGGCUCCUCUGUACAAGAAGGACGUGGACAUGCCAAACCCAGAGAAAAGAGGAAUCCUGUACAAAGGAAUUCAUUGCACUUUCUCUAUCCUGAAUGGAUUUUCAACUUGAAAAAAUGCAACAUACUACAAAUUAAUGAUGUCUCCAAACAACAGGACACCACACAGGACCUUGAGGAAAUCCAGGGCUAGGCAGCAGCAUGGAUGCAGCCAACCCGUCUGGGAGGAGGAAGCCCCAGAUACUGAGAACAUGAGCUGUUCUGCACUACAUGUGAAACCUAAGGAGACAAGCUUUCCUGCUAAGACUACAGAUGUCUGGGAAAUAUGCUGGGCUCUACAAGGAACAAGGAGCAAGCUAUGUCUAUCAGCUACCUCCUCAACAUCUACACCCUCUGGCAGCUCAGACUGAACACAAGAGAAGAAAGUUCAAAUACUAGGUUCAAGUACUGAAUUUUGAAUUUGCUCUCUAUAACUACCUGAAGGGAGGUUGUAGUGAGCUGGGGGUCGGCCUCUUCUCUCAUGUAACUGGUGAUAGGACCAGAGGGAAUGGCUUCAAGCUGCGCCAGCGGAGAUUCAGGGUGGACUUAGGAAAUACUACUUCUCUGAAAGAGUGGUCAGGUACUGGAAUGGGCUGCCCAGGGAGGUGGUGGAGUCACUGACCCUGGAGGUGUUCAAGGAACAUUUGGAUUUUGUGUUGAGGGACAUGGUUUAGUGAGAGCUAUUGGUGAUAGGUGGAUGGUUGGACUGGAUGAUCUUGAAGGUCUUUUCCAACCUUGGUGAUUCUCUGAUUCUGUGAAUUCUCUAAAAUGCCAAGACAUUCAGCAAUGAAGAGGAGAGAAAUUAGUGGAGCUGGGAUGUUUUCAUCCAGGCUGAGGACAGAGUUGAGCAGCUCGUUCACCAUCAGACUUCAAAGGAUCAGCACAGGCAAGAGGCACCACUGACUGAACUCUGUGCAUUCUGCUGCUCUGAGAACAGUGUUUGCAGCAUCUCUCUUCACUGCAUGGGAACUUUCUGCACCUUAUGAUAAAUUGUUUCUAAUCACUUUUAAAUUAUUGGUGACUUUCUGCUAGCUAAGUAAUUAUCAUAGUAUCGUGCAAUUAAUUUAUCAUUUUUUCCCUUUACAGAUCUAGGACAGUUUUACUAAAAAAUGAAAGAAAAAUAAAGUAUCUAAGAUCUUUACUAAGAAUGCA
rnacentral:lncRNA from 1 species